rnacentral:rRNA from 1 species
GCCUAAGACCAUAGCACCCUGAACUAACCUAAUCUCAUCUGAUCUUGGAAACUAAGCAGGGUGAGGCUAGUCAGUAUGGCUCUCAGCAGUGCUUGUGUUGCAUUAAAAUGAUGGGGUUUUAUCCU